CACAAGCUCAGGCUUCUGACUUCAUUGCAUAAUGCAGUAGCAACUGGAUUUGCAGCAGAAACACCCUGCUAAAGAACAAGUGUCUUGGUUCACAGCAAAGAGGACAAAGAAAAACAGCAAGUUCUAGGGGGUUGAAUGCUGGAUUGUGAUCUGGACCCUGUGAGGCUCAGUGGAAACCAGGCGUCAUUGAGUGAUUGACACAGUGAAUAUUGAGACAGCCGAGUUUCUCAAACGCCGACACUCUCC
rnacentral:lncRNA from 1 species